rnacentral:precursor_RNA from 1 species
CCGGUCACUUGCUCAUUAGUGUCCUCUGGGGACUCAGCUUGCUCUGGCUGCUGGAUUGAAUUAGCUGCAGGACCAAGAUGAGCCCUUGGUGGAGACAGGAUUCUCCAGAUAAUUAG